AUUGAACGCUGACGGCGUGCUUAACACAUGCAAGUCGUGCGAGAAAGGGGGCUUCGGCCUCUGAGUAGAGCGGCGCACGGGUGAGUAACGCGUGGAUUAUCUACCCUCGGGCUCGGGAUAACAGUGGGAAACCGCUGCUAAUACCGGAUACGACCGACAGGUGAAAGGUGGCCUCUGCUUGCAAGCUACCGACCGGGGAUGAGUCCGCGUCCCAUUAGCUAGUUGGCGGGGUAAUGGCCCACCAAGGCAACGAUGGGUAGCUGGUCUGAGAGGAUGACCAGCCACACUGGGACUGGAACACGGCCCAGACUCCUACGGGAGGCAGCAGUGGGGAAUAUUGCGCAAUGGGGGAAACCCUGACGCAGCGACGCCGUGUGAGGGAAGAAGGCCUUCGGGUCGUAAACCUCUGUCGGGAGGGAAGAACCGCCAAGGGUCCAAUAGGCCUUUGGCCUGACGGUACCUCCAAAGGAAGCACCGGCUAACUCCGUGCCAGCAGCCGCCGUAAGAC
rnacentral:rRNA from 1 species